AGUAGUUUGACUCCUGGCUCAGGACGAACGCUGGCGGCGUGCUUAACACAUGCAAGUCGAACGAUGAAGCCUAGCUUGCUAGGUGGAUUAGUGGCGAACGGGUGAGUAAUACGUGAGUAACCUACCUUUAACUCUGGGAUAAGCCUGGGAAACUGGGUCUAAUACCGGAUACGACCAAUCUCCGCAUGGGGUGUUGGUGGAAAGCGUUAUGUAGUGGUUAUAGAUGGGCUCACGGCCUAUCAGCUUGUUGGUGAGGUAACGGCUCACCAAGGCGACGACGGGUAGCCGGCCUGAGAGGGUGACCGGCCACACUGGGACUGAGACACGGCCCAGACUCCUACGGGAGGCAGCAGUGGGGAAUAUUGCACAAUGGGCGCAAGCCUGAUGCAGCGACGCCGCGUGGGGGAUGACGGCCUUCGGGUUGUAAACCUCUGUUAGCAGGGAAGAAGAGAGAUUGACGGUACCUGCAGAGAAAGCGCCGGCUAACUACGUG
rnacentral:rRNA from 1 species